rnacentral:tRNA from 1 species
GUGUAGCUCAGCUGGAUAGAGCGUCUGGCUACGGACCAGAAGGUCGUGGGUUCGAAUCCUGUCAC